rnacentral:tRNA from 1 species
GUGAACAUAGUUUAUAAAAAUUCUAGCUUGUGAUUCUAGGGAUGAGAGCUAAUCCCUCUCUGUUCACC